rnacentral:rRNA from 1 species
UUAAGUUAGAAAGGGCGCACGGUGGAUGCCUUGACACUAGGAGUCGAUGAAGGACGGGACUAACGCCGAUAUGCUUCGGGGAGCUGUAAGUAAGCUUUGAUCCGAAGAUUUCCGAAUGGGGAAACCCACCAUACGUAAUGGUAUGGUAUCCUUAUCUGAAUACAUAGGGUAAGGAAGACAGACCCAGGGAACUGAAACAUCUAAGUACCUGGAGGAAGAGAAAGCAAAUGCGAUUUCCUGAGUAGCGGCGAGCGAAACGGAACAUAGCCCAAACCAAGAGGCUUGCCUCUUGGGGUUGUAGGACAUUCUAUACGGAGUUACAAAGGAACGAGGUAGACGAAGCGACCUGGAAAGGUCCGUCGUAGAGGGUAACAACCCCGUAGUCGAAACUUCGUUCUCUCUUGAAUGUAUCCUGAGUACGGCGGAACACGUGAAAUUCCGUCGGAAUCUGGGAGAACCAUCUCCCAAGGCUAAAUACUCCCUAGUGAUCGAUAGUGAACCAGUACCGUGAGGGAAAGGUGAAAAGCACCCCGGAAGGGGAGUGAAAGAGAUCCUGAAACCGUGUGCCUACAAAUAGUCAGAGCCCGUUAACGGGUGAUGGCGUGCCUUUUGUAGAAUGAACCGGCGAGUUACGAUCCCGUGCGAGGUUAAGCUGAAGAGGCGGAGCCGCAGCGAAAGCGAGUCUGAAUAGGGCGUUUAGUACGUGGUCGUAGACCCGAAACCAGGUGAUCUACCCAUGUCCAGGGUGAAGUUCAGGUAACACUGAAUGGAGGCCCGAACCCACGCACGAUGAAAAGUGCGGGGAUGAGGUGUGGGUAGCGGAGAAAUUCCAAUCGAACCUGGAGAUAGCUGGUUCUCCCCGAAAUAGCUUUAGGGCUAGCCUUAAGUGUAAGAGUCUUGGAGGUAGAGCACUGAUUGGACUAGGGGUCCUCAUCGGAUUACCGAAUUCAGUCAAACUCCGAAUGCCAAUGACUUAUCCUUAGGAGUCAGACUGCGAGUGAUAAGAUCCGUAGUCAAAAGGGAAACAGCCCAGACCGCCAGCUAAGGUCCCAAAGUGUGUAUUAAGUGGAAAAGGAUGUGGAGUUGCUUAGACAACUAGGAUGUUGGCUUAGAAGCAGCCACCAUUUAAAGAGUGCGUAAUAGCUCACUAGUCGAGUGACUCUGCGCCGAAAAUGUACCGGGGCUAAAUACACCACCGAAGCUGCGGAUUGAUACCAAUGGUAUCAGUGGUAGGGGAGCGUUCUAAGGACAGUGAAGUCAGACCGGAAGGACUGGUGGAGUGCUUAGAAGUGAGAAUGCCGGUAUGAGUAGCGAAAGACGGGUGAGAAUCCCGUCCACCGAAUGCCUAAGGUUUCCUGAGGAAGGCUCGUCCGCUCAGGGUUAGUCAGGACCUAAGCCGAGGCCGACAGGCGUAGGCGAUGGACAACAGGUUGAUAUUCCUGUACCACCUCUUUAUCGUUUGAGCAAUGGAGGGACGCAGAAGGAUAGAAGAAGCGUGCGAUUGGUUGUGCACGUCCAAGCAGUUAGGCUGAUAAGUAGGCAAAUCCGCUUAUCGUGAAGGCUGAGCUGUGAUGGGGAAGCUCCUUAUGGAGCGAAGUCUUUGAUUCCCCGCUGCCAAGAAAAGCUUCUAGCGAGAUAAAAGGUGCCUGUACCGCAAACCGACACAGGUAGGCGAGGAGAGAAUCCUAAGGUGUGCGAGAGAACUCUGGUUAAGGAACUCGGCAAAAUGACCCCGUAACUUCGGGAGAAGGGGUGCUUUCUUAACGGAAAGCCGCAGUGAAUAGGCCCAAGCGACUGUUUAGCAAAAACACAGCUCUCUGCGAAGCCGUAAGGCGAAGUAUAGGGGGUGACACCUGCCCGGUGCUGGAAGGUUAAGGAGAGGGGUUAGCGUAAGCGAAGCUCUGAACUGAAGCCCCAGUAAACGGCGGCCGUAACUAUAACGGUCCUAAGGUAGCGAAAUUCCUUGUCGGGUAAGUUCCGACCCGCACGAAAGGUGUAACGAUUUGGGCACUGUCUCAACCAGAGACUCGGUGAAAUUAUAGUACCUGUGAAGAUGCAGGUUACCCGCGACAGGACGGAAAGACCCCGUGGAGCUUUACUGUAGCCUGAUAUUGAAUUUUGGUACAGUUUGUACAGGAUAGGCGGGAGCCUUUGAAACCGGAGCGCUAGCUUCGGUGGAGGCGCUGGUGGGAUACCGCCCUGACUGUAUUGAAAUUCUAACCUACGGGUCUUAUCGACCCGGGAGACAGUGUCAGGUGGGCAGUUUGACUGGGGCGGUCGCCUCCUAAAGUGUAACGGAGGCGCCCAAAGGUUCCCUCAGAAUGGUUGGAAAUCAUUCGUAGAGUGCAAAGGCAUAAGGGAGCUUGACUGCGAGACCUACAAGUCGAGCAGGGACGAAAGUCGGGCUUAGUGAUCCGGUGGUUCCGCAUGGAAGGGCCAUCGCUCAACGGAUAAAAGCUACCCCGGGGAUAACAGGCUUAUCUCCCCCAAGAGUCCACAUCGACGGGGAGGUUUGGCACCUCGAUGUCGGCUCAUCGCAUCCUGGGGCUGUAGUCGGUCCCAAGGGUUGGGCUGUUCGCCCAUUAAAGCGGUACGCGAGCUGGGUUCAGAACGUCGUGAGACAGUUCGGUCCCUAUCCGUCGUGGGCGUAGGAAAUUUGAGAGGAGCUGUCCUUAGUACGAGAGGACCGGGAUGGACGCACCGCUGGUGUACCAGUUGUUCUGCCAAGGGCAUAGCUGGGUAGCUAUGUGCGGAAGGGAUAAGUGCUGAAAGCAUCUAAGCAUGAAGCCCCCCUCAAGAUGAGAUUUCCCAUAGCGUAAGCUAGUAAGAUCCCUGAAAGAUGAUCAGGUUGAUAGGUUCGAGGUGGAAGCAUGGUGACAUGUGGAGCUGACGAAUACUAAUAGAUCGAGGACUUAACCAU